GAUGAACGCUAGCGGCAGGCUUAAUACAUGCAAGUUGAGGGGCAGCAUGAUAUACGCGAGUAUAUUGAUGGCGACCGGCGGACGGGUGAGUAAUAGGUAGGAGACCUACCUCAUACAGGGGGAUAGCAUAGAGAAAUCUGUGGUAAUACCCCAUGAGGUUAUAUGAAUAGAGGCAUAUAAUCAAAGCAUAAGCGAUUAUGCGGUAUGAGAGGGGCCUACUGACCAUUAGCUAGUUGGUGAGGCAAGGGCUCACCAAGGCGAAGAUGGUUAGGGGUUUUGAGAGAGAGACCCCCCACAUUGGAACUGAGAGACGGUCCAGACUCCUACGGGAGGCAGCAGUAGGGAAUAUUGGGCAAUGGGCGAAAGCCUGACCCAGCCAUGCCGCGUGAAGGAAGACGGCCUUAUGGGUUGUAAACUUCUUUACUACGCGAAUAGAGGUUAGUACGAGAUACUAAUAGGAAGGUAGUGUAAGUAAAAGCACCGGCUAACU
rnacentral:rRNA from 1 species